GAUGAACGCUAGCGGCAGGCCUAACACAUGCAAGUCGAGGGGUAGCAGGAUUAAGCUUGCUUAAUUGCUGACGACCGGCGCACGGGUGCGUAACGCGUAUGCAACCUACCUUAUACUGGGGUAUAGCCCGGAGAAAUUCGGAUUAAUCCCCCAUAGUACUGUUUGAUCGCAUGGUCAGGCAGUUAAAGCAUUGCGGUAUAAGAUGGGCAUGCGUCCUAUUAGCUAGAUGGUGAGGUAACGGCUCACCAUGGCUACGAUAGGUAGGGGNCCUGAGAGGGUGGUCCCCCACACUGGUACUGAGACACGGACCAGACUCCUACGGGAGGCAGCAGUGAGGAAUAUUGGUCAAUGGGCGCAAGCCUGAACCAGCCAUGCCGCGUGCAGGAAGAAUGCCCUAUGGGUUGUAAACUGCUUUUAUUUGGGAAUAAACCUCUUUACGUGUAGAGAGCUGAAGUACCAAAUG
rnacentral:rRNA from 1 species